UGCUUCUGUGUGAUAUGUUUGAUAUUGGGUUGUUUAAUUAGGAACCAACUAAAUGUCAAACAUAUUCUUACAGCAGCUG
ensembl:miRNA MIR190B microRNA 190b